rnacentral:tRNA from 1 species
GUCUGGGUGGUGUAGUUGGUUAUCACGCUAGUCUCACACACUGUAGGUCCCCGGUUCGACCCCGGGCUCAGACA